UACCUAUUUAUGGGUACUUCAUUCACUCAUAUAUGGGUAAAUGCAACUAUACCAAUAUUAUUAGUAAAACCUACCCAAAAAAUCGGUUAAGUUUACUGAUAUUCUGAAGAAACCGACUUUACCUAUAUUUGAGUAAUCACAUUUACCCAUAUUUGGGUGAAAAAUUAAACAUAAACAAAUCCGAACUGGAUGGCCGCCGCGUCAACGUCGUAGUCGCAAGUUUUUAUGAUUUCUGAUACAAUCCCUGUUAAUAAUUGUUGUUCCGAGUGCAUGCAGUUCUUGCAGAGGUUGCAACCUCUUGACGAUCUUUUCCGGUCCCACACCGUACCAACAUAUCCGCCUCUUCGCAGGCGCGGUCGACGACUAUACAGCAGAUAUCAAGAAUAGAAACAAACUCUCCAACCAUCGGUGAAAUAUUUUCUGCUCACAGCUGUGAAUUUGUGACCCAAAACGACUCGAUACGUUGCUUCAAUCGACUCGCUACGUUGUAUCAAUCAAUCCUUCAGCAACCGCCUCGGCUGCAUAGCUGUUAAGAUAAAUGGAUAUUCUCUUCCGACAAGUCUCAGCUCAUCGCACUAUAAUUGCACAGCAAUUAGUUGCAAGAAAAACGAACAUCUGUGCUAAAGAAAUGAGAGUGGAAAUGAUGAAGGCACCCAACACAUCGGACAAACCUAGCCGGAAGAUCCUGCGUUCCAAUUGGCAUACUGCUUCGUCUUGUUCCAGAUCGUCAGCCGCGAUGGUAGUGGCCGCGAUGGCGACAAGAAAAACAGAUUUAUUAACUGGUAAUGAGCUCAUACGAAUGAACUGGUAAUGAGCAUCGAAAGUCCAGACGAUGGAUCCGUUUAAGAUACAGGAAGCGCAAGAGGAAAACGGUAUGUGACCGCAACAGGGGAUUCUGAUCUUUUUGUAUCAAGUAUUGACAAAUUUGGUUUGGAUCCGAUGCUACUGCUGAAGCCGGAUUGCAAAUUCUUGAUUCGAUUGAUCUUUUUGUGAUCGGUGACAAUUGUUUUAUUGAUCGUUCCAACAACAUCUGUUCGUCCGGCACAGUUACCAGUUUCUGAAUGGCAUACCGUCAGACAUCCACACCAGCUAUUGUUGCUUCUGUUGUCAGCUAACUGGUUUCCGACUUGCUGCCGGAAGCUGCUGCUAUACUGCCACGAAGCUGCUGCUAAGGGAUAUUCCGACCCGUCCGAAAUUACUGUUAUCAGUUCCUGCUGCUGGUGAUGUAGCAUCCAGCAGCAUGAAAUAUAAGAUUUAAUAUUGAUGAAACUAUUUUAUGAAAAUGGAAAGCAUGCAUUUAAACCAGUUGAAUAGUUUAUAGUCGUAUGAUCAAUAAAAUUUGUUGCUAAAUAUUUAUGAAAAUAUAAAUUUCAUUUAAUACGAUUUUCGAAACGAAAACAUAAAAAUAUCACCCAUAUGUAAGUGAAUUUUACCUAUAAUAGAGUACUCAUAAAUAGGUAAACAUUACUAAUAUUUCCAUGAACCACUUGUACGCAAAUAUGGGUAAAUGGCAUUUCACCCAUAAAUACGUAUGUGCACUUUUUGGUGAUUAUGGGUACUGUUCACCCAUAUUUGGGUGAACUGAACUAAGCGUGCAGGUAGAAACUA